rnacentral:ncRNA from 1 species
UUUCUUCGGGGCGGGGUGAGAUUCCCUACCGGCAGUAUAGUCUGCGACCUGCAUAGCAGUUGAUUUGGUGAGAUUCCAAAACCGACAGUAUAGUCUGGAUGAGAGAAGAG